rnacentral:rRNA from 1 species
UACGUAGGGUGCGAGCGUUAAUCGGAAUUACUGGGCGUAAAGCGUGCGCAGGCGGUUUUGUAAGACAGAUGUGAAAUCCCCGGGCUUAACCUGGGAACUGCGUUUGUGACUGCAAGGCUAGAGUACGGCAGAGGGGGGUGGAAUUCCUGGUGUAGCAGUGAAAUGCGUAGAUAUCAGGAGGAACACCGAUGGCGAAGGCAGCCCCCUGGGCCUGUACUGACGCUCAUGCACGAAAGCGUGGGGAGCAAAC